UAUACUGUUCCUGGUACUGGUUGUAUCUGUUAGUCGUCCAGUGAAAUCAUUAUCAGUCACAUACAUCAAAACAUAUGGUUCUUGCCAACAGGAUCUGUAUAGUUACUAGAUUUCCUGUGCAAUGGCUCCAUACAUG